UCGGCUCCCCUCCCGCAGACGUCCCCGGGCCCAGCCGCUUGGAGAUCAUAUUGAUGACCCCGGCCGUCGGCUGAUUAGUCGCCGCUUCUUCAGUCGGCUGGGGUCGUCGGUCGGCAACCGAUUGGGUCGGCGGGUUCUUCCAAAAUUUAUCGAGAUACCCCCGGCGAAUGAGGGCUUCGAUCUCAUCCUUAAGCUGGAUGCAUUGCUCGGUGUUGUGACCGUGGCCUCGAUGAAAUCGACAGUACUUCCGACGGUCGAGGCCUUUUGCCUUCAGAGGCGGAGGCCGUCGCAGGUAUUCUUUCCCCUCGAUCUCCAUUAGAAUCUGCGCACGAGGAGCGGAGAGAGGAGUGUAGGAAUCAUACCUGGGGCGUGUCGGCCUUGGAGUCUGUUGCCGGGGUGACUUUUGGUUUCGUCAGGGUGGCGAGACCCGACUAUCGGUCGGGGGCCUGCUGGGUUCGGCGGGUUCCCGACCCUUCCUCCGCUUCUCC
rnacentral:lncRNA from 1 species